rnacentral:lncRNA from 1 species
UAUUAUGGAGGAUCAAUUAGUUACCAUACAUUAUGCGUUGGCAAAAUUCUUAUAAUUGGUUUCUCAUGUACCCAAAUAUGGAACGAUAUAUAUGAGUACGUUAAAACACUGCUAUCCCCAGAACACAGAAUGGUUAGGGCACACAGAUCAUAUUGUUUCUCUAGGCACCCAAAUAUGAAACGAUUAUGUAUGCGUACACACUUAUCACUUCGCCAAUACACCUGAACACGGAAGGGUAUGUAUGGUCAUAUUGAUGCCUAACAUAAUGCAAGUGCUUCCAAAACAAGUCCUUUCCAU